rnacentral:pre_miRNA from 9 species
UCUCGAUAGCGUAAAAGUUCACUCAAAUUUGUAUGGAGUUGGAACGUUUUCUUACUUUUCGGGGCGCUGUUCCAACUGCAUACAAAUUAAAGUUAACUUUUACGCUAUCGA